rnacentral:rRNA from 1 species
UGCGUACCUUUUGUAUAAUGGGUCAGCGACUUAUAUUCUGUAGCAAGGUUAACCGAAUAGGGGAGCCGGAGGGAAACCGAGUCUUAAUUGGGCGUUAAGUUGCAGGGUAUAGACCCGAAACCCGGUGAUCUAGCCAUGGGCAGGUUGAAGGUUGGGUAACACUAACUGGAGGACCGAACCGACUAAUGUUGAAAAAUUAGCGGAUGACCUGUGGCUGGGGGUGAAAGGCCAAUCAAACCGGGAGAUAGCUGGUUCUCCCCGAAAGCUAUUUAGGUAGCGCCUCGUGAAUUCAUCUCCGGGGGUAGAGCACUGUUUCGGCUAGGGGGCCAUCCCGGCUUACCAACCCGAUGCAAACUGCGAAUACCGGAGAAUGUUAUCACGGGAGACACACGGCGGGUGCUAACGUCCGUCGUGAAGAGGGAAACAACCCAGACCGCCAGCUAAGGUCCCAAAGUCAUGGUUAAGUGGGAAACGAUGUGGGAAGGCCCAGACAGCCAGGAUGUUGGCUUAGAAGCAGCCAUCAUUUAAAGAAAGCGUAAUAGCUCACUGGUCGAGUCGGCCUGCGCGGAAGAUGUAACGGGGCUAAACCAUGCACCGAAGCUGCGGCAGCGACACUGUGUGUUGUUGGGUAGGGGAGCGUUCUGUAAGCCUGUGAAGGUGUGUCGUGAGGCAUGCUGGAGGUAUCAGAAGUGCGAAUGCUGACAUAAGUAACGAUAAAGCGGGUGAAAAGCCCGCUCGCCGGAAGACCAAGGGUUCCUGUCCAACGUUAAUCGGGGCAGGGUGAGUCGACCCCUAAGGCGAGGCCGAAAGGCGUAGUCGAUGGGAAACGGGUUAAUAUUCCCGUACUUGGUGUUACUGCGAAGGGGGGACGGAGAAGGCUAUGUUGGCCGGGCGACGGUUGUCCCGGUUUAAGCGUGUAGGUGUGUGUUCCAGGUAAAUCCGGUUCACUUUAACACUGAGGCGUGACGACGAGGCACUACGGUGCUGAAGCAACAAAUGCCCUGCUUCCAGGAAAAGCCUCUAAGCAUCAGGUAACAUCAAAUCGUACCCCAAACCGACACAGGUGGUCAGGUAGAGAAUACCAAGGCGCUUGAGAGAACUCGGGUGAAGGAACUAGGCAAAAUGGUGCCGUAACUUCGGGAGAAGGCACGCUGACACGUAGGUGAAGUGAUUUACUCAUGGAGCUGAAGUCAGUCGAAGAUACCAGCUGGCUGCAACUGUUUAUUAAAAACACAGCACUGUGCAAACACGAAAGUGGACGUAUACGGUGUGACGCCUGCCCGGUGCCGGAAGGUUAAUUGAUGGGGUCAGCGCAAGCGAAGCUCCUGAUCGAAGCCCCGGUAAACGGCGGCCGUAACUAUAACGGUCCUAAGGUAGCGAAAUUCCUUGUCGGGUAAGUUCCGACCUGCACGAAUGGCGUAAUGAUGGCCAGGCUGUCUCCACCCGAGACUCAGUGAAAUUGAACUCGCUGUGAAGAUGCAGUGUACCCGCGGCAAGACGGAAAGACCCCGUGAACCUUUACUAUAGCUUGACACUGAACAUUGAGCCUUGAUGUGUAGGAUAGGUGGGAGGCUUUGAAGUGUGGACGCCAGUCUGCAUGGAGCCGACCUUGAAAUACCACCCUUUAAUGUUUGAUGUUCUAACGUGGACCCGUUACCCGGGUUGCGGACAGUGUCUGGUGGGUAGUUUGACUGGGGCGGUCUCCUCCUAAAGAGUAACGGAGGAGCACGAAGGUUGGCUAAUCCUGGUCGGACAUCAGGAGGUUAGUGCAAUGGCAUAAGCCAGCUUGACUGCGAGCGUGACGGCGCGAGCAGGUGCGAAAGCAGGUCAUAGUGAUCCGGUGGUUCUGAAUGGAAGGGCCAUCGCUCAACGGAUAAAAGGUACUCCGGGGAUAACAGGCUGAUACCGCCCAAGAGUUCAUAUCGACGGCGGUGUUUGGCACCUCGAUGUCGGCUCAUCACAUCCUGGGGCUGAAGUAGGUCCCAAGGGUAUGGCUGUUCGCCAUUUAAAGUGGUACGCGAGCUGGGUUUAGAACGUCGUGAGACAGUUCGGUCCCUAUCUGCCGUGGGCGCUGGAGAACUGAGGGGGGCUGCUCCUAGUACGAGAGGACCGGAGUGGACGCAUCACUGGUGUUCGGGUUGUCAUGCCAAUGGCACUGCCCGGUAGCUAAAUGCGGAAGAGAUAAGUGCUGAAAGCAUCUAAGCACGAAACUUGCCCCGAGAUGAGUUCUCCCUGAGACUUAAAGUCUCCUGAAGGAACGUUGAAGACGACGACGUUGAUAGGCCGGGUGUGUAAGCGCAGCGAUGCGUUGAGCUAACCGGUACUAAUGAACCGUGAGGCUUAACCUUACAACGCCGAAG